AUGAUCUUCCUCAUCUAGCCUGUGAACCACCUUUCAAUUGACCUCCAUCCCUACCUUCUUGCAAAUUUAGUCCAUCCUCUCUAGGAGCAGCAGAGAGAGAGAUUUCUGUAGUUGACUCUAUGGUUUGCAGUGAUGAUGCAGACAAAUCCAGUGACAUCUCAUACAAUUUUGUUUGUGUAAGAUCUCAUGUUCCUCAAAUUGAACUGCCUAAAAUGAGAAUCUUAUAA
rnacentral:lncRNA from 1 species